GACUGCGUAGCUCAGUUGGAAGAGCAUUGGGCUAGUAUUAAAAAGGUCGUAGGUUCGAAUCCUACCGUGGCCG
rnacentral:tRNA from 1 species